rnacentral:rRNA from 1 species
GGCGAACGGGUGAGUAACACGUGAGUAAUCUGCCCCUAAGUGAGGAAUAACUCCGCGAAAGCGGGGCUAAUACCGCAUGAAACUCUGAAGCAAACGCUUUCAGAGUCAAGGCCCCCUAGGGGGUGCUUGGGGAUGAGCUUGCGGCCUAUUAGCUAGUUGGUGGGGUAAUGGCCUACCAAGGUAAUGAUGGGUAGCCGGCCUGAGAGGGUGUACGGCCACACUGGAACUGCGACACGGUCCAG